UACGGAGGGUGCAAGCGUUAUCCGGAUUCACUGGGUUUAAAGGGUGCGUAGGUGGGCUGGUAAGUCCGUGGUGAAAUCUCCAAGCUUAACUUGGAAACUGCCGUGGAUACUAUUAGUCUUGAAUCUCGUGGAGGUAAGCGGAAUAUGUCAUGUAGCGGUGAAAUGCUUAGGUAUGACAUAGAACACCGAUAGCGAAGGCAGCUUGCUACACGAGUAUUGACACUGAGGCACGAAAGCGUGGGGAUCAAACAGG
rnacentral:rRNA from 1 species